UACGGUCACAUCACAUUAUAACACCAGUUUUCAUCUGAUCACUGAAGUUAAGUAACACUGAACCUGGUCAGUACUCAGGUGGGUGACCAGUGAGGAAUACCAUGUGCUA